UGGGGAAUAUUGGACAAUGGGCGCAAGCCUGAUCCAGCCAUGCCGCGUGAGUGAUGAAGGCCCUAGGGUUGUAAAGCUCUUUCAGCGAGGAGGAUAAUGACGUUACUCGCAGAAGAAGCCCCGGCUAACUUCGUGCCAGCAGCCGCGGUAAUACGAAGGGGGCUAGCGUUGUUCGGAAUCACUGGGCGUAAAGCGCACGUAGGCGGACUUUUAAGUCAGGGGUGAAAUCCCGGGGCUCAACCUUGGAACUGCCUUUGAUACUGGAAGUCUGGAGUCCGAGAGAGGUGAGUGGAACUCCGAGUGUAGAGGUGAAAUUCGUAGAUAUUCGGAAGAACACCAGUGGCGAAGGCGGCUCACUGGCUCGGUACUGACGCUGAGGUGCGAAAGCGUGGGGAGCAAACAGAUUAGAUACCCUGGUAGUCACGCCGUAAACGAUGGAAGCUAGCCGUCAGGGUGCAUGCAUCUUGGUGGCGCAGUUAACGCAUUAAGCUUCCCGCCUGGGGAGUACGGUCGCAAGAUUAAAACUUAAAGGAAUUGACGGGGGUCAUAGCUGUUUCCU
rnacentral:rRNA from 1 species